UCUCGAGCGAGCCGUGGACUGGAUCUUCUCUCAUCUGCAUGAUCUGGAGUCCAUGGAUGUGUCUGAGGGUGGGCGCUCAGAGGGAGGAAGUGAAGCCAGUUGGGAACCUCCUCCAGGGCCGCGUGUCCGUGAUGGACCAGGAAAGUAUGAGCUUUUUGCGUUCAUCAGUCACAUGGGAACGAGCACAAUGUGUGGUCAUUAUAUCUGCCACAUAAAGAAGGACCAACAG